CCUACGGGCGGCAGCAGUGAGGAAUAUUGGUCAAUGGGCGAGAGCCUGAACCAGCCAAGUCGCGUGAGGGAGUACUGCCCUAUGGGUUGUAAACCUCUUUUGUCGGGGAGCAAAAGCCGGACGUGUCCGGCUGUGAGAGUACCCGAAGAAAAAGCAUCGGCUAACUCCGUGCCAGCAGCCGCGGUAAUACGGAGGAUGCGAGCGUUAUCCGGAUUUAUUGGGGUUAAAGGGUGAGCAGGCGGAUUUUUAAGUCAGCGGUCAAAUCGUGGGGCUCAACCCCAUCCAGCCGUUGAAACUGGGGAUCUAGAGUGUGCGAGAGGUAUGCGGAAUGCGUGGUGUAGCGGUGAAAUGCAUAGAUAUCACGCAGAACCCCGAUCGCGAAGGCAGCAUACCGGUGCACAACUGACGCUCAGGCACGAAAGCGUGGGUAUCGAACAGGAUUAGAUACCCGUGUAGUC
rnacentral:rRNA from 1 species